rnacentral:rRNA from 1 species
UGAGUACGAGCGGCUACGGCCGCGAAGUGGAUGAUGUCAAGCUUCCAAGAAAAGCCCUAUACCCGUUAAGGCAUGAUGGCCUGUACCCGAAACCGACACAGGUGGGGUGGUAGAGAAUACCGAGGGCGCGAGGUAACUCUCUCUAAGGAACUCGGCAAAAUGGCCCCGUAACUUCGGGAGAAGGGGUGCCACCGCGAGGUGGUCGCAGUGAAGAGGCCCAGGCGACUGUUUACCAAAAACACAGGUCUCCGCUAAGUCGCAAGACGAUGUAUGGGGGCUGACGCCUGCCCAGUGCCGGAAGGUUAAGGAAGCUGGUCAGCGCAAGCGAAGCUGGCGACUGAAGCCCCGGUGAACGGCGGCCGUAACAAUAACGGUCCUAAGGUAGCGAAAUUCCUUGUCGGGUAAGUUCCGACCCGCACGAAAGGCGUAACGAUCUGGGCGCUGUCUCGGAGAGAGGCUCGGCGAAAUAGAAUUGUCUGUGAAGAUGCGGACUACGUGCACCCGGACAGAAAGACCCUAUGAAGCUUUACUGUAGCUUGGUAUUGUGCUCGGGCUCGGAAUGCGCAGGAUAGGUGGGAGGCUUUGAUCCAUUGCUUGCGGGUGAUGGUGAGCCACUGGUGAGAUACCACUCUUUCCGAGCUAGAGUUCUAACAGCAACCCGUUAUCCGGGUGCUGGACAGUAUCAGGUGGGCAGUUUGACUGGGGCGGUCGCCUCCUAAAAGGUAACGGAGGCGCGCAAAGGUCUGCUCAGGCUGGUUGGAAAUCAGCCGACGAGUGUAAAAGCAGAAGCAGGCUUGACUGUGAGACCUACAAGUCGAACAGGGAGGAAACUCGGCUUUAGUGAUCCGACGGUUCUGCGUGGAAGGGCCGUCGCUCAACGGAUAAAAGUUACUCUAAGGAUAACAGGCUGAUCUCCCCCAAGAGUUCACAUCGACGGGGAGGUUUGGCACCUCGAUGUCGGCUCAUCGCAACCUGGGGCUGAAGUCGGUCCCAAGGGUUGGGCUGUUCGCCCAUUAAAGCGGUACGCGAGCUGGGUUCAGAACGUCGUGAGACAGCUCGGUCCAUAUCCGGUGCACGCGCAGGAAUAUUGAGAGGAUUUCUCCCUAGUACGAGAGGACCGGGAGGAACGCACCUCUGGUGUGCCAGUUAUCGUGCCAACGGUAAACGCUGGGUAGCCAUGUGCGGAGUGGAUAACCGCUGAAAGCAUCUAAGUGGGAAGCCCACCUCAAGAUGAGUAUUCCCAUGGCAUAAGCCAGUAAGGUCACGGGAAGAACACCCGUUGAUAGGCUCUACGUGGAAGCGCAGUAAUGUGUGAAGCGGAGGAGUACUAAUAGACCGAGGGCUUGACC